ensembl:lncRNA
AUGCGUUUUCUGUGGACAGUGAUUGUAUUCGCUUUGGACCCGGUGACUCCAUCUACUCCCUUCAGAGCGCAAACUGUUUGGCUCUCUGCCCUGUCUUCUGAGUCAUCGACCUUGUGUGAUGCAGACACUCAGAUUUUGGUGUGCCCUUUCAGGGCUUUGAGGACUUACAUUGACCGUUUGGCCAGCUUACGGCAGUCUGACCAGCUUUUCGUGUGCCACUGUGGUUGUAUGAAGGGCCGGGCCGUGUCAAAACAGAGACUUUCCUACUGGAUUGUGGACGCUAUCACGGCUGCUUAUACUGUACGAGCCAAGGUUUGGAAUGCCCCUUUCACAUUAGGGCCCACACAACAAGAGCUAUCACUUCCUCAUGGGCAUGGUCAAGAGGAUAUAUGUCUUGCAGCUGACUGGUCUUCUCAGAAUACCUUUGUCAGGUUUUACAAGCUGAACGUUCAGUCCUUAGCUUCCGAAGUACUGUCGCACUUCUCUGACUUUACAAGCUGUACCACAACCUUGGAGCGCCCACAACAACUGCUCUUAUGGCUCCUAUAAAGAUUCUCUUGCAUUUUACCCUGCAUGCCAACAGAAAGUGCUCAUUCCAGUAAACACCAUAGGUAACAUUCUGAAAAUAUUUAUGAAAUAUUUCACAUUAUAACUGCUUUUAGUGUAUUUUUGAUCAAAUAAAUGCAGCCUUGGUCAGCAUAAAUUAUAUAAAAUUUUAAGUGAUAUAUAUAGAAAGUUUACAUUUUGACAUAUUUUGUUAAUGUGUCCUUUUUGGUGAAGGCAAGUGGGGUAUGUGGACGUUUUGCAUUCUAGUCAAAGAAUUAGUGCCAUCUCAUUCCUGUGUAAUGGGCUUUAAACAUGGCCUGCUGCUUGACCUUUGACCAAACACAGGCCUAAUCCACUGACCCAGACUCUGCUCUACACAGACUCCUCUCAUCCGGAUCAUCUCUGACGAAGAGGAACGGCGACAUCUCUGGAGGUCCCUGGGGCUUGACCUUUGACCUUUCCUAUCUGGGGCUUAAACCCUGAUUUAAAGUCACAGUUUGGCCCUCAUGACUGACCCCAAACUCAAAAACCUCAUAAAGAGACAGAGUAGAGAGGCUGGACUGUCCAGUUUCAGUUACACAGGUUUAUUACUUGCCAAACACUGAAAAAAAAAAAAUUAUAAUAAUUUUUUAUAUUACUGCCAUCUCCUGUAUGAUUCAUCUUAGAGUGCAGAGCCAGUGGGAGGAAUCCGUUCAUUGAAUAUGUGCCACCUCAUUCAGCCAAAACUAAGAAUGCAGCAAUGUAAACUAGAGACCUGCCAUGGGCUUUCUUUUGCCAUGGUUUGGGGGCUGGGCAAAGGAAUCACAGAAUGACUGAGGAGAUGUGCCAGAUGGGCAGAUGUUGGCUAAAGGGGAGCAGCAACGGAAAUCCCCUUUAUCCAGGCCAGCGUGCCAACCUGAGGCCAUGCUACCAAAAGCAUACACACCUACUGUCAUAUACUCACAAACAAAUCACUGAAAGGCACAAUAAAUGUGCAUCUUACGAAAUGCCAUUAUUUAAUGAUUUCUGAGCUCUUUCAAAGCAAUUGAUUUGUCCUUUCACGUUUAAAUACAAUGUAUUGAAGUUUCAAUGACAUGAUGCUCAUUAUUGUUCUUCAUUUUUUCAUAAAUACAUUAAAAAUGCAAUUCACAUAGCCUAUAAAAUAACUUUAAGGAUAAGUUUGCUGAUUUUCAACUAGCUUUGUAUUGAUACAAUGGCAAUAGUAUAUGUAAAUGAACAAUGUGUACUUUUUCUCCAUGUUACCUGAACCUUGAUAUCUCAGUUUAUUUGUAAGUUAAACUUUUGACAGCUUUCGACAGAGUUUUUUUUUUUAAUUGUGCUUCCGCAUUUUUGUG